rnacentral:rRNA from 1 species
CCUGGUUGAUCCUGCCAGUAGUCAUAUGCUUGUCUCAAAGAUUAAGCCAUGCAUGUGUAAGCACACACUGUUUUAAAAGUGAAGCCGCGAAUGGCUCAUUACAACAGCCACAGUUUAUUAGAACUUACAAUCAUGGAUAACUGUGGUAAUUCUAGAGCUAAUACACGCACAAAAACUUCAACUGAAUUGGUUGAAGUGCUUUUAUUAGAACAAAAACCGAACGGCGUUUGGCGAAUGUUGAACGUCGAAACUGUUUGGUGAAUCUGAAUAACUAUUUCUGAUCGCAUGGUCUAGCACCGGCGACAUCACUUUCAAGUGUCUGCCUUAUCAACCUUCGAUGGUAGUCUAUGCGACUACCAUGGUGAUAACGGGUAACGGAGAAUCAGGGUUCGACUCCGGAGAGGGAGCCUGAGAAACGGCUACCACAUCCAAGGAAGGCAGCAGGCGCGCAAAUUACCCACUCCCAGCUUGGGGAGGUAGUGACGAAAAAUAACGAGACGAUUCUCGUUUGAGAAACGUUAUCGAAAUGAGUACGCUUUACACACGCUAACGAGUAGCAAUUGGAGGGCAAGUCUGGUGCCAGCAGCCGCGGUAAUUCCAGCUCCAAUAGCGUAUAUUAAAGUUGCUGCGGUUAAAACGCUCGUAGUUGAAUUGUGGUCUUAGACAACAGUCCCCCUACAUAGGUGUGGCACGGUUGCUCGAGAUCUUCAUUCGUGGUUGCUGUUGUUGCUCUUCAUUGAGUGUCAAUGGUGCCUCGAGAUUUUACUUUGAAAAAAUUAGAGUGCUCAAAGCAGGUUGUGAUGCCUGAAUAAUGGUGCAUGGAAUAAUAGAAUACGAUCUCGGUUCUAUUUUGUUGGUUUUCGAACCGGAGAUAAUGAUUGAAAGGAACAGACGGGGGCAUUCGUAUUGCUGCGUUAGAGGUGAAAUUCUUGGAUCGCAGCAAGAUGAACAAUUGCGAAAGCAUUUGCCAAGAAUGUUUUCAUUAAUCAAGAACGAAAGUUAGAGGUUCGAAGGCGAUCAGAUACCGCCCUAGUUCUAACGGUAAACUAUGCCAACCAGCGAUUCGCCGAAGUUCAUUUAAGACUCGGCGAGCAGCUUCCGGGAAACCAAAGUGUUUCGGUUCCGGGGGAAGUAUGGUUGCAAAGCUGAAACUUAAAGGAAUUGACGGAAGGGCACCACCAGGAGUGGAGCCUGCGGCUUAAUUUGACCCAACACGGGAAAACUCACCCGGCCCGGACACUGGAAGGAUUGACAGAUUGACAGCUCUUUCUUGAUUCAGUGGGUAGUGGUGCAUGGCCGUUCUUAGUUGGUGGAGCGAUUUGUCUGGUUAAUUCCGAUAACGAACGAGACUCUACCCUAUUAAAUAGUGACAGUAUUGUAUUUUUUGUGCUGAUCACUUCUUAGAGGGACUGGCAAAUUGAAAGCUGCACGAAAAAGAGCAAUAACAGGUCUGUGAUGCCCUUCGAUGUCCGGGGCUGCACGCGCGCUACAAUGAAAGCGUCAACGUGAGUUACGUCCUUACCUGAAAAGGUUUGGCAAUCGAAUGAAACGUUUUCUUGAAUGGAAUAGGGAAUUGCAAUUGUUUCCCUUGAACGAGGAAUUCCCAGUAAGCGUGAGUCAUUAGCUCGCGUUGAUUACGUCCCUGCCCUUUGUACACACCGCCCGUCGCUACUACCGAUUGGAUGAUUUAGUGAGGUGUUUUGACUGGCGCCAGUAGUCGGAUGUAUUCGGCUUCGCGCCGGGAAAUUUCCCAAACCAAAUCAUCUAGAGGAAGUAAAAGUCGUAACAAGGUUUCCGUAGGUGAACCUGCGGAAG